GUCAGUAUGGCCGAGUGGUUAAGGCGCAGCACUGUGAGUAACCCCGUAACACAAUCUAUUCAUCAAUCAGUAACUAAUAAUCCCCGCAGCGAAUCAAUACAUUCCCGAUAUGCUGUUCAUUCGUGAACCUAGGUUCGAGUCCUAGUGCUGACG
rnacentral:tRNA from 1 species